AAAAAAUCAAAAAAAAUCAAAAAAUGUCCAAGAACAGCAAAGGUCAGUGCAUGAUUCUCCAACCCAGAAAGGUUUUUUCCUUUCACUUCUUUCUUUUUCCCAAAAAUUCUGCAACAAGAAGAACACGUUAAAAUUCCUGCAGCCAACUGAACAACAAACUCAAACAGUUGUCCUCUCUCCAAUUCGGACCAUUACUUCCAACAAGGAAAAAUUGAAAGUCAACUUUUUCCCUUUUCCAUCAAACAUAAACCCUAAUUUUUGGGUAUAAAUAAAAGGAACCAAAACUCAAAGAAAAGAAAAAAAGGAGAACCACAGCCGCACCUGCAAAGAAACAAUCAACAACAAACCCAAAAAGAACAGCCGCAACAGUACAACCACAACCAAAACCCUAAAAUUUUUCAUCACAGAAACCAAACUUUCAAAACCACAGAAAAAAGCCAAAAACCACACAGAAACCACCAACCAAUCUUCAACCUCCAUCCAGUUUCAACCAUAUCCUCAAAUCAUCAAAACCAAAAGGAAAAUCUAAAAAAAAAACAACAAAACAGAAACCGAAACAAAACAGAAGGAAGAAGGAGCGAAAAGAAGAAGAAAAAAAACCUUGAAAACUGCCUUCUCCGAUCUACGUUUGGGUGAGAUUUUCGAAUUUUUCAUGCUCAUUUUCGUAUUCUAGGGUUUGAAUAAAGGGGGGUUUAGUGUANNNNNNNNNNNNNNNNNNNNNNNNNNNNNNNNNNNNNNCCGGCGCGGCGGCGCCGCCGUCUGGCCUGACGGCCGCCGCGCCGGCGACGGGUUAUAAAAGCAAACCCUAGCAGAGCUUAGGUUAGAGAAGAGAGGAGAUGAAAGAAAAAUAAAAAAAAUACAAUGGGUUUCUCUGUAUAUUGCUAUUUAUAGCAAAUUUUUUAUUUUUUAGGUGAUUUU
rnacentral:lncRNA from 1 species